GUCUGCAUAGAUUAUUUUUAAAAUCGUGACGCUGUUAACUUCAAAAAGGAGUUUGCUCCUGCAGUCG
rnacentral:tRNA from 1 species